rnacentral:rRNA from 1 species
CCUACGGGAGGCAGCAGUGAGGAAUAUUGGUCAAUGGCCGGAAGGCUGAACCAGCCAUGCCGCGUGAAGGUCAGUGCCCUAUGGGCGUUAAACUUCUUUUGUGCGGGAGCAAUAAUGGUCACGUGUGGCCAGACGAGAGUACCGUACGAAUAAGCAUCGGCUAACUCCGUGCCAGCAGCCGCGGUAAUACGGGUGAUGCAAGCGUUAUCCGGAUUUAUUGGGUUUAAAGGGUGCGUAGGCUGUGAGGUAAGUCAGCGGUGAAAUGCCCCCGCUCAACGGGGUGAAGUGCCAUUGAUACUGCCUGGCUGGAAUGCGGAUGCCGUGGGAGGAAUGUGUGGUGUAGCGGUGAAAUGCAUAGAUAUCACACAGAACACCGAUUGCGAAGGCAUCUCACGAAUCCGCGAUUGACGCUGAUGCACGAAAGCGUGGGUAUCAAACAGGAUUAGAUACCCCAGUAGUC